GGAAUUUUCGGCAAUGGGCGCAAGCCUGACCGAGCAACGCCGCGUGAGGGACGAAGGUCUUCGGAUCGUAAACCUUUGUCUUUAGGGAAGAUAAUGACGGUACCUGAGGAGGAAGCCCCGGCUAACUACGUGCCAGCAGCCGCGGUAACACGUAGGGGGCGAGCGUUGUCCGGAUUUAUUGGGCGUAAAGAGCUCGUAGGCGGUUUCGUAAGUCGGGUGUGAAAACUCCAGGCUCAACCUGGAGACGCCACCCGAUACUGCGAUGACUAGAGUCCGGUAGGGGAGCGUGGAAUUCCUGGUGUAGCGGUGAAAUGCGCAGAUAUCAGGAGGAACACCGACGGCGAAGGCAGCGCUCUGGGCCGGUACUGACGCUGAGGAGCGAAAGCGUGGGGAGCGAA
rnacentral:rRNA from 1 species